GACGAACGCUGGCGGCGUGCUUAACACAUGCAAGUCGAACGAUGAAGAAGAGAAACGCGAACUUCGGUUCAAAUUUCACUUCGGAUUAGUGGCAGACGGGUGAGUAACGCGUGAGCAACCUACCUCUUACAAAGGGAUAGCCUCGGGAAACCGUGAUUAAUACCAUAUGACACAUUCAUAAGGCAUCUUAAGAAUGUUAAAGCUACGGCGGUAAGAGAUGGGCUCGCGUCCCAUUAGCUAGUUGGUGAGGUAACGGCCCACCAAGGCGACGAUGGGUAACCGGGCUGAGAGGGUGAACGGUCACAUUGGAGCUGAGACACGGUCCAAACUCCUACGGGAGGCAGCAGUGGGGAAUAUUGCACAAUGGAGGGAACUCUGAUGCAGCGACGCCGCGUGAGCGAUGAAGGAAUUCGUUUCGUAAAGCUCUGUUCUAUGGGAAGAAAAGGACUGUACCAUAGGAGAAAGCCCCGGCUAAAUACGUG
rnacentral:rRNA from 1 species